AGAGUUUGAUCCUGGCUCAGGAUGAACGCUGGCGGCGUGCCUAACACAUGCAAGUCGAACGGAGUUCUUAAGGAAUGCGACUUCGGUCAAAUGACUUUUGAACUUAGUGGCGGACGGGUGAGUAACGCGUGAGCAACCUGCCUUUCAGAGGGGGAUAACAUUUGGAAACAGAUGCUAAUACCGCAUAAGAUUACAGUACCGCAUGAUACAGUGAUCAAAGGAGCAAUCCGCUGAAAGAUGGGCUCGCGUCCGAUUAGAUAGUUGGUGAGGUAACGGCUCACCAAGUCGACGAUCGGUAGCCGGACUGAGAGGUUGAACGGCCACAUUGGGACUGAGACACGGCCCAGACUCCUACGGGAGGCAGCAGUGGGGAAUAUUGCACAAUGGGCGAAAGCCUGAUGCAGCAACGCCGCGUGAGGGAAGACGGUUUUCGGAUUGUAAACCUCUGUUUUCGGUGACGAACAAAUGACGGUAACCGAGUAGGAAGCCACGGCUAACUACGUGCCAGCAGCCGCGGUAAUACGUAGGUGGCAAGCGUUAUCCGGAAUUACUGGGUGUAAAGGGAGCGCAGGCGGGAUAGCAAGUCAGCUGUGAAAACUAUGGGCUCAACCCAUAAACUGCAGUUGAAACUGUUAUUCUUGAGUGGAGUAGAGGCAAGCGGAAUUCCGAGUGUAGCGGUGAAAUGCGUAGAUAUUCGGAGGAACACCAGUGGCGAAGGCGGCUUGCUGGGCUCUAACUGACGCUGAGGCUCGAAAGUGUGGGGAGCAAACAGGAUUAGAUACCCUGGUAGUCCACACUGUAAACGAUGAUUACUAGGUGUUGGAGGAUUGACCCCUUCAGUGCCGCAGUUAACACAAUAAGUAAUCCACCUGGGGAGUACGACCGCAAGGUUG
rnacentral:rRNA from 1 species